UUUCCGUUUGUCUCGCUUGCUUCAUGCGCCGGAGAGACGUUUUUGCCCCUGUUUUCCACGUGUCGGUCAUCCUUAUUCUCUCGACUUCGAGAGUCUUCUUAACGAGUUAGGGUUUUGUUCCUUCGUUGCCUUUCCUGAUUUCGGCUUUGGUCUUUUCGUUUUGCCCGUUCUUUCUUCCAAUCCUCUACUUCUAUGUGGUCUCCGUUCUUUGUUUCGCAGAAAGGUUUGCUGAUUUUUGUGGUUUAAGGGACUUUGUGGUUGCCGGGCCGUUAUGCGUCUAUUUACACUUGGGGUUUUUUUGCGUUCCGAGGGUUUCGACAUCUCUGAUCCAGGGUAAUGAAUUCCUGAUGUUUGCCCCUUUUUUCCGUUUUGGAUUUCUGGGUUGUGGCUAUGAUUUUGGCCGAUUUCCAGCCCUUUUCAGGGGUGGCGUCUUUCCACCCCACUGUGGAACAAGUGUGAUUCAGCCAAGUUGUGGUGCUCUCUUGGGUUUUCCCUGUUAAAAGAGAAUUUUGCAUUUUCGUUCUUCGGUUGGCAAAUCUCGGAUGGCAUAUGCAAUGCUGCUGUAAUUUUUUGGGUCUGAAGACUAAUGUUACAAAUUGUGAUUCCAAAUCAGCUUAUCCUUAAUUCACAAAUACCAAGAUCGUUAUUUAUCUGUUACAAAACUAAUACUACAACUUCUGUUUCCAGAUCAGUUUAUCCGCAAUUUGCAAAUACCAAGGUCAUUAGUUAUCUUUGAGCACAUGUGAUUUAAAAAUUCACUGUCACUGACUUUGCUCUGCUGAUUAAAUUCUGUGAUCAGUUUAGUUUUUUUGCUUUGUUUGAUCAUUUGAUUAGUCGUUGGACUGUACGGAUUAAAUUACGUAUAGAGAUAAGAAGUGUUGUUUUUUAUUUUUUCCAUUGAGAUUGGUUUUUAGAUUUGAUUUAUAAAAAAUAAAAAUAAAAAAACUGACAAAGAAAUGAUACGCAGUGAUAUAGAAUGGUUAAAUUAUGAUCUUAGUAUCUGUGAGCACAUUCGAAUUGUAAAAUCUGGCAAAUUAUUUGAAGCAAUUCUGAUUUCAGCUUUUUGGACUAUACAAAUAGGAAGAUGAGGAGAUAAAAAGAAGUACAAAGGGAUGCAUUUAGCUUCCACUUUUUCAUCAUUUAUUUGGUCAAUUCUUGCAUUGUUUUAUUUGGUGAAUUCUUGAUUAACGACUGGUUCUUCUUGGUUGGUCUAAUUGGGUAACUUAAGAAUUUCAUCUGUUGAUUAAAUUUCAUGUCAGAAUUUUUUUCCUGAUGGAUCCUUUUUUUUUUACCAUUAUUCAAUUUUUUUUAAUGAUGUAGCUGAGUUCAGUAUUCCUUUGGAGUCUCUGCAAGUUUAAAGUAAUCUAUGUUGUUGUUGUUUUGAUUGUGCGUUUUGUGACUUACGCUAUUUUAAUAAGAAUGUUUUCAAUUUACUGUAAUCUCAAUCUCAAUGGAUUUUUUAUGAUACGCCUUAUUAGUGAAUUUAUCUACAUUUUUCAAAUGUUGGUCUCGACGAUUGUGAUCAUUGCACUGUGGAUUUUGUUUGAAUUCCUAAAUUGUGUCGAACAUUUGACAAGUGCUUCUUGAAUAAAUUUCGAGUAAAGAAUGUCCAAAUAUGACAAUUUCAGGGUUUCAAAUUCAUUGGAAAAUAUGAAAUAAUUUUGCAUAGUUUAUGAUUAAUGCGAAACAUUGAUACUUUUGUAGUGAUAUAUGCUUUUGGAGAAAGUUGUAAAGUUUGAUACUUUUCAGCUUUAAUCUACUUUUUCCGUUGUCUUAAGGUAUAGAUUCCCGCAUUUAAUUUACUUUUUUUUCCAGGAGCAGUUUGAAGGAUUAAAAUGUUGUCAUUUGGUAUAGAUGAUCUUGGUUUAGCAAAUUGAUAGCGAGAUGGAACACUCCUAACUGCAUUGUAACUCCUAACUACGUUGUAAGUUCUACUCACUCAUCCUAUAAGAGUUGCUUCAUAAUUGUAAUAUUCAAAGCCAGAUAGCUAUUUCAGUUAUGGUUCGAUUAUUAUUUUCCUUUUCAAUUGUUAUUCUUCAUUUUUGAUGUGGUUGCUGUUUGUGA